AGAGUUUGAUCCUGGCUCAGAACGAACGCUGGCGGCGUGGAUAAGACAUGCAAGUCGAACGAGAGAAUUGCUAGCUUGCUAAUAAUUCUCUAGUGGCGCACGGGUGAGUAACACGUGAGUAACCUGCCCCCGAGAGCGGGAUAGCCCUGGGAAACUGGGAUUAAUACCGCAUAGUAUCGAAAGAUUAAAGCAGCAAUGCGCUUGGGGAUGGGCUCGCGGCCUAUUAGUUAGUUGGUGAGGUAACGGCUCACCAAGGCGAUGACGGGUAGCCGGUCUGAGAGGAUGUCCGGCCACACUGGAACUGAGACACGGUCCAGACACCUACGGGUGGCAGCAGUCGAGAAUCAUUCACAAUGGGGGAAACCCUGAUGGUGUGACGCCGCGUGGGGGAAUGAAGGUCUUCGGAUUGUAAACCCCUGUCAUGUGGGAGCAAAUUAAAAAGAUAGUACCACAAGAGGAAGAGACGGCUAACUCUGUGCCAGCAGCCGCGGUAAUACAGAGGUCUCAAGCGUUGUUCGGAAUCACUGGGCGUAAAGCGUGCGUAGGCUGUUUCGUAAGUCGUGUGUGAAAGGCGCGGGCUCAACCCGCGGACGGCACAUGAUACUGCGAGACUAGAGUAAUGGAGGGGGAACCGGAAUUCUCGGUGUAGCAGUGAAAUGCGUAGAUAUCGAGAGGAACACUCGUGGCGAAGGCGGGUUCCUGGACAUUAACUGACGCUGAGGCACGAAGGCCAGGGGAGCGAAAGGGAUUAGAUACCCCUGUAGUCCUGGCAGUAAACGGUGCACCCUUGGUGUGCGGGGAAUCGACCCCCUGCGUGCCGGAAGCUAACGCGUUAAGCGUGCGGCGUGGGGAGUACGGUCACAAGAUUAAAAGUCAAAGAAAUUGACGGGGACCCGCACAAGCGGUGGAGUAUGUGGCUUAAUUCGAUGCAACGUGAAGAACCUUAUCUGGACUUGACAUGUAAUGAACAACAUGUGAAAGCAUGCGAUUUUUCGGAGGCGUUACACAGGUGCUGCAUGGCGGUCGUCAGCUCGUGUCGUGAGAUGUUUGGUAAAGUCCAGCAACGAGCGCAACCCCUGUUGCCAGUUACCAGCACGUGAAGGUGGGGACUCUGGCGAGACUGCCCAGAUUAACUGGGAGGAAGGUGGGGACGACGUCAGGUCAGUAUGGCCCUUAUGCCCAGGGCUGCACACGUACUACAAUGCCCAGUACAGAGGGGGCCGAAGCCGCGAGGCGGAGGAAAUCCUGAAAACUGGGCCCAGUUCGGACUGUAGGCUGCAACCCGCCUACACGAAGCCGGAAUCGCUAGUAAUGGCGCAUCAGCUACGGCGCCGUGAAUAAGUUCCCGGGUCUUGCACACACCGCCCGUCA
rnacentral:rRNA from 1 species